rnacentral:ribozyme from 1 species
ACAAAGAAAUAGUCGCAACACACAAGAAAAAAUGAAGGCGAAACAACGACGACAAAGAACAAUACCAUGCGAUGAUGAUGAUGAUGGACGACACACCUGUCCGUUUCUUUCGUUUCUACUUUUGUUUCAUGAUUUUUCGAUGCUUUGUUCGUU